CACGUAGGCACCAAGCGUUGUCCGGAUUUAUUGGGCGUAAAGAGCUCGUAGGCGGUUCAGUAAGUCGGGUGUGAAAACUUUGGGCUUAACCCAAAGCGUGCAUCUGAUACUGCUGUGACUUGAGUUCGGUAGGGGAGUGGGGAAUUCCUAGUGUAGCGGUGAAAUGCGCAGAUAUUAGGAGGAACACCAAUGGCGAAGGCAGCACUCUGGGACGUGACUGACGCUGAGACGCGAAAGCGUGGGGAGCAAACAGG
rnacentral:rRNA from 1 species